GACGAACGCUGGCGGCGUGCCUAACACAUGCAAGUCGAGCGAUGAAGUUUCCUUCGGGAAAUGGAUUAGCGGCGGACGGGUGAGUAACACGUGGGUAACCUGCCUCAUAGAGGGGAAUAGCCUCCCGAAAGGGAGAUUAAUACCGCAUAAUAUUACAGUUUUGCAUGAAACAGUAAUUAAAGGAGCAAUCCGCUAUGAGAUGGACCCGCGGCGCAUUAGCUAGUUGGUGAGGUAACGGCUCACCAAGGCGACGAUGCGUAGCCGACCUGGGAGGGUGAUCGGCCACAUUGGGACUGAGACACGGCCCAGACUCCUACGGGAGGCAGCAGUGGGGAAUAUUGCACAAUGAGGGAAACCCUGAUGCAGCAACGCCGCGUGAGUGAUGACGGUCUUCGGAUUGUAAAGCUCUGUCUUUGGGGACGAUAAUGACGGUACCCAAGGAGGAAGCCACGGCUAACUACGUGCCAGCCGCCGCCGUAAGAC
rnacentral:rRNA from 1 species